AACGAACGCUGGCGGCAGGCCUAACACAUGCAAGUCGAACGAUGUAGCAAUACAUAGUGGCGCACGGGUGAGUAACGCGUGGGAAUGUACCAUUUGGUGGGGAAUAACUCCGGGAAACUGGAGCUAAUACCGCAUACGCCCUUCGGGGGAAAGAUUUAUCGCCAAAUGAUCAGCCCGCGUGAGAUUAGAUAGUUGGUGGGGUAAUGGCCUACCAAGUCUACGAUCUCUAGCUGGUCUCAGAGGAUGAUCAGCCACACUGGAACUGAGACACGGUCCAGACUCCUACGGGAGGCAGCAGUGGGGAAUAUUGGGCAAUGGGCGCAAGCCUGACCCAGCCAUGCCGCGUGAGUGAUGAAGGCUCUAGGGUUGUAAAGCUCUUUCGCCGAUGAAGAUAAUGACGGUAGUCGGAGAAGAAGCCCCGGCUAACUUCGUGCCAGCCGCCGCCGUGA
rnacentral:rRNA from 1 species